GUAACAAGCGAGGAGAGGAAAUGAGGAGUUGUGGGAGGAAAGAUGGAGGGAGGUGAGGGCUGCUGAGAGAGAGAGAGCGAGGAAGAGAGAGUGGGAGAGAGAGAGGUUGACAGCCUGGUGGAGAGGAGACAGAUGGGAGGAAAAGAGAAAACUGGAGACAUCCACCACUGAUUGCAUCAACAGGUCUGAGCCCCUCCAGUGUGUUUUCAACCCUGGAACAAAGGUGUCUGCGGCGGCGAGAUGAAAACUGCGACAACUGAUGAAGAUGACCUGUCAAACUCCACAAUCAGCGAAAAACAACGUGCAUAGACGGGUUUGAGGAGGAGCGGGGGGAGGAAGGGAGAGUGAAGAUGGAAAGACGACGUUUAGGAAGAAAAGGAGGGAGUUUACGCCCACCGACUGAAGAGAUGAGAAGACAGGCAGAGGAGGGGAGAACGUGUGGAGGAAGCAGGGAGUUGGUGCCAGAGCUCGUCAGCCUGUCAAGCAUCCGUUAUAGACCACAAACCCACACAGCCAUUGCACUGCUGAGGUCUAUCACUUGACAGGUGCACUUCCUUCACCUUCACACACAUUUGAAGACACAUCUCUUACACUCUAUAGACGUGUGUAGGUGGCCAAGUUUACGCACAUCAAAUUUGAGCCUUGUCCGCAGAGCACAAGCCCAACUCGGAUGCUUAGUCUCCGUGCAGCAGAAGGCGAUCCACUGUGAGUCACUGUCAUUGAUCAGAAAAUAAAACCAGUCAGGUAGAUUCCUCAUAACUGAUGCUUCCUUCACCCCUUCUCCCGGGCUACUAACUGUUUUAGCUCUGCGCUGGCACAAUCUGAAUGCGCGCACUCAGCCCAACCCACGUUUGCACCCAUAUUACUCCUCUCUGUGCUCAUAGUUUUGUAAUUCUGACUGCUGACGCACUGCAUCUAAAUUCACCCUCCACUUUCCCUGGGGAGUUACAUCAGGGCUUUGUGCACUUUUUGUUUUUCUGUGUUUUUUUUCCUUAGGUACCUGCACACGUACAGUGGCAAGAAUAUAUACAUGAAGCCUUUGGAAUCACUUGUUUUUCUGCAUUAAUUGUUCA